rnacentral:lncRNA from 1 species
GGUGGUGGUGACGGAGACGGUGGAGGUGGUGACUUGUAAUAAUAUGGAGGUGGGAAUUUAUCGACAUAAGGUGGUGGCGGUGAUGGGGAUGGUGGAGGAGGAGAUUUGUAAUAAGGCUUAUAAUCAUCAGCUGCAACACUGCUAGCAAUUAUGCAAAAUGCUAUUGCAUAAAUGAGUUGAGGCCAAUGCCUCAACCCAAUUGAGGUUCCCAUAUUCUUUCAAGUGUGUGUGUAUUCUUGUACUCAGUUCCUUAGAAGAGUGUUAGCUUAUUUUUGUGAUUGCUUAAGUUUGUAUUCUAACUCAUUAUAUAGUGUUGCCCAACCAUGUAUUAUAAGUAUUUUUAAUUUGCCCAAUACAUUAUAGCAGCCUUGCUAAAUUUUUUUAUUAUAUUUUUGUUUCAAGGAUUGUGUGUCCUAUACCUUCUGUUCGUACCAUUUUGUAUUUUAAAACUAGAUUAUAUGUGUAUUGUUGUCGUCAAUUAAACGUGUUCAUGUUUUCCACAACACGGACAUGAGCAAAGUCAUAGAAAAGAUUAGGUGUUGAAAGAGUUUUUCUAUUUGUUUUUUUUUUUUAACUAAAAUUUUCUCCGCACUUAACUGCAGAAAUUAAUUCUUUGAAACUUAAUUCAGCAAAAAAAAAAAAAAUCUUUGAAAUAAUUACUGAAAUAUAUUUAAGGGAUUGAUAUAUCUCAAUAUAUGUUUUUUUCAUACGAAUCAACUAGAAAUUAAACUAUUAAACUAUAUAAUAGUUAUAUGACUCAAAUAUCUACUAUUUGUGUUAUUAGUUAAUACAUUGAAUGAGUUAUUUGUUUGAUAAAGAACUGGUAAGCAUGAUCGAGAGCUUGUGAGCCUGAAGUGUGAAAAGAUUGUUAAACUUUGGUUUUUUAUUCUAAGCAGAGACUUUUGUUGAUUAUAAAAAAGAAAAAUUGUCUUUAUUGCUAUGAAUUUUAUGCCUAUGUCGUCGGUGAAUUAAUAAACUAAUCCAGCUUAAUUGCUUGUCAAUAUGAUACUUUAUAUAUAAUGUCAAUUGGUUAUAUGAUUGUAGGAAAAUUUCGUGGUGGCUUAAAAAAUGUAUAUGAAAUUGACUUGGUGAAUAUAUAGUUGUUGUCAGGGACGGACAUGGGGGGCAAGUAGGGGCUGAGGCCCCCUUGUCAUAUUUUUUUUCUUCAUAAUAUACUUGUUCUUGAUACAUACUACAUAAAUUGAUAUUUGAGAGAAGUGGUAAAAGAUUAGUAACGAUCGUUUGGUACAAAACAUGCACCCAUAAUAUAGUAAUUGUAAUAAUUUAUUUUAAAAUAUUUUGAUAAUAUAUAUUAUACACUAUUAAAGUUCAAAUUCAAUUUUUCACCCAAAAAAAAGUCUAAAUUCAAUUAAGUUAAUUCUGAUUGUUUGCUAUAAGUGAAAAAUUAUUUUCUUGUUAUACGAAGAUUGUGAAAAAUAGGUUGAGAAAUAAGAUAGAAAAUGAAUUUCAAACUAAUUAAUACGGUUCAAUUGUUGAUGAAUUUUAUGAUAUAGAACAAUAUCGUGUACAAUUUAGAUAAACAAUGUAAUGUAUUUUUUAUUUUUUAUUAAGCAUAUAUUUAAGUACUAUUAUAAUUAUUAUUAUUUAAUUAUUUCGGCCUCCAUUUUAUAGAUUCCUGAAUCCGUCCCUGGUUGUUGUUUGUUCUAGUCGACUUGCCUUCAUACAUUAUUUUUAUAAUUCUUGUAAUCAUUGUCAAUGUAUUCUUCCUUUUCUAAUUAUAAACAAAAGUUGUUCAAUAAAAAUUAUUGUAUUUGAUUCAUUUUUGCUUAUAAUUAAGAGCAGAUGAGGUAUAUAAUGUAAAUAACCGAUUCUAUCAAACCGGACCCAAGAAGGACAAUCGUAGGAGGACUAGAAGCAGGUAUAGGAGAUCCACAUUGGCGGAUCCAGGACCCUGGAAGAUNNNNNNNNNNNNNNNNNNNUGACUGUAUAGAUGCUCUCCCUCGCCCUCACCCUUUUCGGAACAGAAAAGUAAAGUAUAUUGAAAAGACUCAACCCAAUCACAGGGCAUACCCAGAUUAGAGACAAAAAUUACAUGUAUGCAAUAGCAGGUACAAUUCCGUAGCAAGAGUGCAAGACUAACUCACAAAUCUAAUUAUAUGCAAUACACCAAAUUAGCAUACAAUACAACACAACCUACCAAAAAAUCCUGCACCAGAUCCUCAAACUCACAGCCUGUUACACCAGCCCAACCAAGAUACAGCAGCAGCUACUUACAUUUCACCUAGCCAUAAAACUCGAUGGAUCCCAUGACUAAUCCAAGAUAAAGUGCAGUAAACAAGAUGGUUCAAGUUUUCGUGUGACCCUCGACAAAUCAAGUAGUCAAGCGUUUCUAAUUGAGAGAUAACCCCUCCAUUGGACAUAUUUAAUCUUGUUGAGAUUCGAUCAAGUAGAAGUUGCUACAAGAAAGCAUAAACUUUAGAUUGUACCUAUCAUCUUCAAUUGUUAUAAACACCUCCUCCUCAAGCAUUAACACCAUUUCCGGACCAUGAGAUAGCAACCUCCAUUUUCCCAAGAGACUAAUAUUCACCGCCCUUAAGUCUCUCUCAAUCCAAAACUCCCUUCCUUUUUGGUUGCAAACGUCGCCCCGUUUAAUCCAACUUAUACUCCUUCUAGUCAAAUAUGCACAAAACUUUGUCCUUACUUCCUCUUCUUGCCUUUGUUGAACAAUUUUGUACAACAGUGGUGUGUUUCUCUUAGAUGUUUUAUAACUCAGUUAGUUUGGAAAAUAUUUUUAGAAUCAAUGUUGCCUCAGAUAAGAGGAAAACUGAUUUUAAAUAUGCUUAAAGAAAUUAGAACUUACAUACUAAAAAAUAUAACAUUAAAUAAGAGAUCAUUGAGUGAAUAUGUUGAAUAAAGAUACGUUUAUAUCACGUAUUGUUGUGGAAUAUGGACCAGAGAAAAGAAGAAAAAUUUAACAACAAAAGUUGAGCAUUUGUAGGAACCGGUUAGUUGUUUUUAAUGAUGGUUUUAUGAACUAAAUUAUAUACUUUUAUAGUUUAAAAUCUACUAAUAGUCAAUUUAACAAUAAUGUUAAUAGAAUAGUUUAGGUAUCUUUUUAAUUGAUUUUAAAAGGUUANNNNNNNNNNNNNNNNNNNNNNNNNNNNNNNNNNNNNAAAAUAUUGUUUAUAGCAUAUCAUUAAUUAAAAUAUUAUCAAAAUAAUUUGGUACAUCGACCAACACUUGGGAACUAGCAGACAAUGUGACCACCUUAGCUAGAGUAUGAGCAAUCUGAUUUGCUUUUUUUUCGCACAAACUCUACAUUAGAGUUUCUAUAAUAACUAGAGAAAACUAAUUUACAAUGAUUCAUACUGAAUUCAAUAAAAUCUCUACUACUAAGAGUUGAACCUAUCAACCACUCUCUUUGAAUCCAACUCAAAAUCUACCGGUUUCUACGUUAAGCUCGUGCACCCACUUGAACGCAGAUAGCAGUCCAAGUGUUUCACCAACAUGAACUUCACUUUUAGGAAUAAACCAUUCAGUUUUUGCUAAAAUAAAAGCUCCAUGUUCAUCUCUAAUACAUAUACCAAUACCGACUCUGUUUGAAUUUAUCGAAAAGGAAGCAUCUACGUUGCAUUUAACCCGUCCAGCUAUCAAUUUUCGCUAGUGAAUAGCUUUGCUCUAGGCUACACAGUGUCCCCACCAUAAAGCAUUGAGCAUCUUUUCAAUUUCAUCGAUAAGAGAAAGUCGAAAGGGAGAAAAUACUCAUAAAAUAAGUUGGUAUAGAUUGAAGAAUAUAUUUUGUUGUUUUCGGUCACAAUUAAAUAAAUAAAUGUGAGACUUAAUUUUAUUUUCAAUUCACACACCAAUGUGAACUUUGUUCCAACAUAUUUUAUAGGACGCCUCCUCGCCGUUGAUAAGAAUUUGUUGUUCCAUGCAUAAUAAAAUAAUGUAGGAAUCUUUUAAUCGAUUUUAAAACUAAAUUAGUAAGAGAGUGAAUAUUUAUAAACUGAAUUGAAGAUUUUUUUUGGUUAAAUAGUCAAGUGCUUAAAAAUUUUACCUUAAAAUAAAUAAGUAAAAUGUUGGAAUUCAAACAUAUCCUUAUAUUAUAUAUAAAAUAUAAUGUCCUACCAAUUAAGCUAAUCUCAUGAGAAAUACUCCAUCUGAUCUUAUAUAUAAGAGAAAGUUCACUUUUAGAUUCAUUAAUAAUCUAAUAUAUUUGAUCAAUAAUAUGGUCGAGAUACAUUAAAUUUAUGAAUCGAAAAAGUAAACUUAUCAAAUGCUACAAAUUUAAUCGGUUAACUUAUUGGGUAUAUUUUUUACCAAAGAGAGCCUAUCUCUCUUAUAUAUAAGAUGAGGGUGAGUAUUUCUUUUUAUAUACCUGUCCUUAGCGAUUGAACUAGUAUUAAUGGUAACAUUUAUUUAUUGUAUGAAAUUUAAAAUUGCUCUUUUGGCUUUCCUAAUCUUUCAACCUAAAUCGAGGUGCUAGAGCUAGAUAGAAAGAGUCUCAUGGAGGUUCAGCAGUUGAAGCUCGCGGCUGAAGGCUGAUGGAAGGAUAUUUAUUUGAAGGAACAAAGCACGCGCAGUUAGUGCUGAGCUGACGCGACGACCUAUAAACUCGAUAUGCUUACAGUUGCAGUGGUGCUUCACCGCUCGGCGCUCGCUAUCAGAAAUUUGAUACCAUACCAGGUUCUCCUUAUUCACUUUCUUCUGUCGCUCACAUCAUAUUUUGAAUUGUUUAUAGAAAUUUUGUACACCUUACUAUCUAUUUGUUGAUAUAAACUUCCUGUUUAAUUACUGUACUUGUUUGCUAUGACUAUUAUGAUUAUCCUUCAUGUAUAAUUGUGCGAUUAGAAACUUAUGCCAUGUAAUUAUAAUCAAAUUGUUAUUAUGAACUCGAUGCUAAUUACAUAUAGAGAAAAUAAAUAUAGGAACUUAUUAACACUUUGAAAACCCAAACCAAAGUAGAUAAGCAAUGUAGUCAAACAUUAGGAUCGUAAGGCCGGUGAGAAAUAUUGUAACAUGACUCGUACGAUCCUACUGGAGGGAAAAAUUGUAAUUAUAUAUACACACACAUAAGCAUAAAAUUUAUCAUAUAUAAACUAAAUAAUCUCUAUUUUUAUCAUGACAGUAAAUUAAGUUAAUUAAAAAUGCAUCGUUUAAAAAAAAUUAAAAAUUCAUAACCAUUGCAGUUAAGCUUGAAAUAGAUUGAAAACAGGGGAGGAUGAAAGGACGGCGUCGCAGAGAGAUGGGAGAAUGGUGUUGUACUCGCAGGGAGAUGGAAGAUAGGGUUUCUGUUUGAAGUAAGGAGGGAUGAAGAGUGAAGGGAAGGACUGUUUUCAGCAAGGCCCAAUGCGAAGCAGCUGACCUAACACAAAACACGUUACAAUCCUACUCCUAAUUCGCUAUAUCGACCACAAAGUGCACUUCUAGUGAACUUGUCUGAAUUGCAGCACACGAUCCUACGUGCUGGCACUCAAUCUUGAUUACCAUGGCAGUAGGUGCUAGUACUACCAGUAGUAGUGUAGUUUGUGUUCUCAGUGUUGGUAAGCUCCUAUUUUGCUCUACAUAUGAUUCUUUAGCUUCACAAUUUAAAGAUUAUAGCAUCUCAAUUUAUUCUCCAUGUGACUUGCAUAAUGUUUGUGUUCUAGUUCUAGGGGUAGCAUUUUAAUUAGAUGCCUCUCUUGAUUGAAUAAUCUCAUGCAAAUAUUCAUUUUUGUAAACUGAAGUGGUAAAAUGAAGAUAAGUUGGUUUACGCUUAAGUUAUCAAUGAAAAUCUUUCCUAAACAAUCAACAGAUGAAUUAAUUGAGUUAACUUGAUCAAAUCGACGAUUCAAAUUGCAUCAGUUAAUGGUUAAGCUAACUCCGACAUUUAUCUAUGUUUGUAUCCAUCUUUAUUCUCACUGUGUGUGUUUGAUUCUUGUAAUUUCAAUUAUGCUCAUUCUGUGUUCAUUCAUUACAUCAAUUACAUAUUAUAUUUUUCACAUUCAUACAUUGCAUAUAAUUGCAUCUGGUAUUAGGAAUUCUAUUAUUUUUAAUCAUUGCAAAUUCUUAUGUUAUCCCACUUCUUUGGUCAUAAUUGGAUAAAAUUUGUGUAAUUCGUAAGAAUAUAAUCUCAAUAGAGAUGAUAAUCAACUUGGUGCGACCAAUAGAGUUUAUAUAGGUUUGCAUAUUGCAUGAAAAUUGCAUUAUUCAUAACAUUAAUCUACCGGAAGUCCUAUUCAUCAUUAGUUUUUAUAUACUUUUAUUUAUUUGGAUUUGGUAUAUAAUUAUCUUAUGCAUAUGAAUUGUAACUAGUAUUCACUAGAUUCAAAUAAUGAAGUAAUAUUUAGUGUAAUAAUCGAUUUCGUUGAUGUUGAUGAUAUGAAGGUGAAAGUGAAAAAACAAAAUGUAAAAUAUUCAAAAGCAACUAUAAAAAAUAGAUAAAUAUAGACUUAUGAAUUAACACCAUACAUGUGAAAUUGCACUGGAACAAAAAAUAAGGCUCUUAAUUCAACAUAGAUUGUAUACUUUUUCAUUAACAAAAACUCAAAUACAAAUUAACCACAACAAUAUUUAACAUAAUUCAUUGAAAAAAUUUCAAAUAGCUUUAGACGGAAGCUUAAUACACGGGAGGCGGGGGUGAGUUGUAGAGGUAGGGAUGAUAUGGAGGAGGUGAUGGAGAUGGUGGGGGUGGAGAGUUGUAAAUAUAAGGAGGUGGCGGUGAAGGUGAAGGAGGUGGUGGUGAUUUAUAGAUAUAUGGUGGAGGAGGUGAUGGCGAAGGUGGAGGUGGAGAUUUGUAGUAGUAUGGAGGAGGUGGUGAAGGUGAAGGAGGUGGUGGUGACUUAUAGACAUAAGGUGGAGGAGGUGAUGGAGAUGGUGGAGGUGGGGAUUUGUACACAUAUGGAGGAGGGGGUGAAGGAGAAGGAGGANNNNNNNNNNNNNNNNNNNNNNNNNNNNNNNNNNNNNNNNNNNNNNNNNNNNNNNNNNNNNNNNNNNNNNNNNNNNNNNNNNNNNNNNNNNNNNNNNNNNNNNNNNNNNNNNNNNNNNNNNNNNNNNNNNNNNNNNNNNNNNNNNNNNNNNNNNNNNNNNNNNNNNNNNNNNNNNNNNNNNNNNNNNNNNNNNNNNNNNNNNNNNNNNNNNNNNNNNNNNNNNNNNNNNNNNNNNNNNNNNNNNNNNNNNNNNNNNNNNNNNNNNNNNNNNNNNNNNNNNNNNNNNNNNNNNNNNNNNNNNNNNNNNNNNNNNNNNNNNNNNNNNNNNNNNNNNNNNNNNNNNNNNNNNNNNNNNNNNNNNNNNNNNNNNNNNNNNNNNNNNNNNNNNNNNNNNNNNNNNNNNNNNNNNNNNNNNNNNNNNNNNNNNNNGAGAUGGAGGAGGUGGUGACUUGUAGACAUAUGGAGGAGGAGGUGACGGGGAUGGAGGUGGUGGUGACUUAUAGACAUAUGGUGGUGGUGGUGAUGGAGAGGGUGGUGGUGGACUCUUAUAGACAUAUGGCGGGGGAGGUGAAGGAGAUGGAGGAGGUGGUGACUUGUAGACAUAUGGAGGAGGAGGUGACGGGGAUGGAGGUGGUGGUGACUUAUAGACAUAUGGAGGAGGAGGUGAAGGGGAUGGAGGAGGUGGUGAGUUGUAAACAUACGGUGUGGGAGGAGAGGGUGAUGGUGGAGGAGGAGAUUUGUAAACAUAUGGUGGUGGGGGUGAAGGUGAUGGUGGAGGUGGAGAAUUGUAGUAAUAUGGUGGAGAUUUGUGGACAUAAGGAGGUGGCGGUGAUGGAGACGGUGGAGGUGGGGACUUGUAAUAAUAAGGAGGUGGUUUGAAAUAAUGUGGUGGUUGUGCUCCAUGAUAUGGUGGUUUGUGAUAAUAAGGUGGUUGUCCAUGACUUGGUGGUGUUGGGUGUGGGUAGUAAUUGCUUGGUUGUCCUGCAUAAUAAGGCUUUUCAUUAUCAGAAGCAACACUGCUUGCAAGUAUGCAAAAUGCUAUUGCAUAGAUGAGUUGAGGCCAAUGCCUCAACCCAAAUGAGGUUCCCAUUUUCUCUAAAUGUGUGUAUUCCUAUACUCAGUUCUUUGAAGAGUGUAAGCUAGUGAUUAGUUAGUUACUGUGAUUGCUUAAGUUUGUAUUCUAACUCUUUAUAUAGUGUUUCCCAAGCAUAAAUUAUAAUAUUAAUUUCUCAAAUACAUUAUGACAGCCUGGCUUAAUGUUUUAACUUAUAUUCUUAUUUCCAGGAUGGUGUGCUUCCAAUGUCUUUUGUUCAUACCAUUUGGUAUGUAUUUGGUAUUUUAAUACUUGAUAUAUUGUGGUUUUUCAUUGAAUGAGUUAAUGUUUUCCACAAACGAGUAUGAACAAAGUCAAUGAAAUUAGUAGGUGAUGAUAACAAUGUAACUUUGAAUGAGUUAUUUUUUAUAUAUGAACAACCAAUAUUAGUGAAAACGCGUCAGAGCAGGCUUAGUUCUGAUUAUUUUCCUUGGCUUUUAGAGAGAACAGGCAAGCAAAGCAUGAAUAUGAUGGAGUUUUUUUUGCCGCCCCAUGAGUUUUUCAAACACCAUGCGCUACUUAAAUAAUGGGCGGUGUUAUUUUUUUUUCCUCAAAUUUCUCAUUUUAUAGCAUCCAUUACUUAAGUAGCGAUGAGUAAAAAUAUGACACGAGAAACUCAUAGGACGGUAAAAGAAACUUCUAAGCAUGAUUGAGAGGUUGAAGUGUGAAACAGUUGAUAAAGUCAAAUUAGUUCCAAACUUGUUAGAACUAUCUAAUACUUGUAUGAAAUGAAAUAAGUAUCUAAAUUUGGACCAAAUACAUGUAGGUUUUUACUUACGAUACAUGUAGUACGAAAUAAUACAUUAUUUUUUAUGUAAUAUAAUCAAAUACAUUUAUGUAUUUGGUUUAGAUUUGAACUCAUUAUAUUGAACCAAAUCAUAUUUCUUAUAAAAUUUUCUAUUUUCAUUUCCUAUAACUAUAAUUAGUGUUAAUUUAUUUGUUAACAAGAAGAUAUUAAACUCUUGAAAUAAACAAUUGUAUAUAUUUUUUUUUUAGGUAAUUGUAUAUAUUUUUAUAAAACAAUAAAAAAGGUACAUUUUUUUUAUUAUUUUCAAAAAUAUAUCAACUCUAACCAACCUUCUUUCUUCUUUCACACAAUUGUUGAUUCUUAAAAUCUCACAUCUUGAACACAUAUUUUGCUAUAAUUUUUGUGCCACUAUUGUCGGUGAAUGAAUAAACUUAUUCAGCUUAACUACUUUUCUUAUGAAUAUGGAACACACUUUAUAUUUAUUUAUUUAUUUUGGUACAUAACACACUUUAUAAUUAUAUUAUAAUAAUGACAAAUUGUUAUACGUACCGUAGGAAAAUAUACUUGUAACUUAAAUUAUCUUGAUUGACUUGGUGUAUACAGUUACUGUCUAUCGCAAUCGACCUUCAUAAGUUAUUUUUAUAAUUCUUAUCAUCACUGUCAUUGUAUGUACAUAUUUAGCCUCUUGUUCAAAACAACCAUUAGUUCUAUUAAAUCUUUGAUCAAUUCCACCAUGAGUUCGACGGUGGAAAUGUUUUGAUUUUCUUUUUUAAUGUACUAGUAACAUAAUUCUUUUUAUUUCUUAUUUUGUUAUAGGUACGAACUGUUAAACGGUGAUUUAUCUGUAUUGGAGAACAUAUUAGACACAAAGUGAGUUAUCUACUUUUGACCGAAUUUUGUCUCCAAACACAAGAGCCGUGAGUUCUCCCCUCUUAAUUGAAUUUUUUUUAUCUCUAUAGCAAGAGUUUGAUAUUGCUCUAUAUGGAUAUGAGUCCACACACAAAGUGAGUUCUCACUGAAUUUUCUCUCUAUAACCAAGAAUCCAAGAUUGUAUCCGUAACCACUUGUUUAAAAGGGUGCAAAUAUGUGACACUGUUUGAAUGAAUUCAAACCCAAAAUCUUAAGAUUAAAAGACUAAACUAUUACCCGAGUCGGUCAGUACCUCAAAUGUAAUUACAUUGUUUAUUUGAUUAAAUUAAUAACACAAAACAAAAAUAUCAAUUAUCACGUGAAUCUUUUUAAUAUUUCAGUUGGUCUCUCUAAUUAACUAUGAUAUUGUAUAACUCACCUUUAUUUCCUAUAUUUUUUCUCAAUUUUUUCUGCAAUUCUUAUUACAUCAGUAUUUGUGCAAAUCCCAGCACACAGGACUUCUAUAUAUUAUUAGGAUAAUUUUGCAAGUGUUCUGUAAUUUUUUACUUCUUUACAUUUAAGGCGUGUGAUUAUUGCCACUAAACUAGUUGACGAAAAUAAAAUAAAAUUGCUGGAUGUAAAAUUAGAGGUCACUUGGUUGAGAGAAAUUGUUCUUCAACCAGUCAUCCUAGAGGUACUCAGUUCGAGACUCUGCGCUGAGAGAGCAUAAAAUUAGUUGUUUGUGGAAGUUACACACAUUAUCAUCCUAGAUGAGCUCAUAGCAUAAUUAAUUUGUGUGACGAUUAGUUGCUUAUGUGCCUCCAGCUCACCAUUGAUUGAAGACUUCAUUUUACAUCGUGUUGAAAAAUGCUAAUCACAAUUUUUGCAACAUGGCCUGCAUUUAUUUCCCAUUUGCUUCCCACACUCUUUAGUAUCCGAAAAUGGCAUGAUGGGAAGAAUUCUAAUCAAACUCAGAGUGGUGCACCAUUCACUAUUUAUGAUUCAUAGAUUAGAUGGAAAAAUGUAUCUUCAGGUGCUGGAGUUUGAAAUGUUUUUAUGGGAAGGCCAUUUUUUAAUGUGCAUAUUUAUAUAUUCACAUCAUAACGUAACAUGUAUUUUUCGUGGUGCAAUAGUUUGUUUGUUAAUUUUAUUUUACUUGCUAACUAAGGUUCAAAUCUAGCAUUUUGCAAUAAUAGUAUAGUAUUUUUUUGUUAAGCAGUGUUACUUAACCAACAGACCACAUAACACAAUUGUUAUUAAAACACAAUUGAUAAUAUAUAUUAUUUAACUAUAAUAUGUGUAUAUACUUAUAGAAAAUGAAAAUUUUGGAUGCAACCACUCAGAUGCUAUCAAGAUUGUACUGUGUGACACCCAAAAUCUUUCUAAAUUAAUUAUUAGUUGUUUUAUUUGUUAUUUGAUCUACAUGAUGAACUAUUGGUGCUAAAUAUGGGUGAUUAAGUUAAGUAUAUCUCAAAAUUAAGUUAAUUUAGUUGAUUUUGUUUUUAAGGCGCGAGAGUUUUGAGAAGUUUUGACUGCACUUUUAAUUGGAAAGCUUGUUUAUGUAAGGACAUUUGCUAACAAUAGUAUGUAUGCUUAAAAGCAGAGUAUGUUUGUAUACAUGUUUGUUUCAUGUGCUAAGUGGUAAAUGAAAUAUACCUGGUUAAUAUAUAUAAUAUAUAUACUUGAUUAAGUGUUUUGAUGUACGUAUUGAAUAUUUCUAUCUUACAUAUGAUUUGGACGAUCUAUGGUGUUGAUUGCUUCUAUAAUUACAUAUAUUGGAUGAUAUAUAAGUUGUUGCAUUUGUAUAAGAUGAUGAGUUGUAUGCUCGUGCAUUUCAUGGUUAAGCGUGUGCGUGUGGUAGAGGCGACUGCAUUGAGUGGAGAUUUUCUGUGAGCGGAUCAUCCACUCCUGUAGGAUUUUAUUAAAGCCAGUGUUGGUCAUACACAAUCCGAUGCAGAGUGUUAACUUUCAGAAUUAUUUGCACUGACUUAAACUCAUUGUAAUUAGGAUAUUGUGCAUUAUUGAGUUGAUGUGGACUCAAUUGCUAUGUUUCCUGUCAUGACAUAUUAUUUACACUGCUUUGCUUUGUAUUCAUAUAUAUGUUGUUUUUAGAUUGUAACCUUCUAUAAUGAUUGUGGACUGGGAUGAAUACUACAAGUUCUAGUAGUCGGGGAUGCGUGAGAAUCGUGAGGACAAUGAGGGUGUAGCAGAGUGUCGACUUGGAUUGGUGAUCAAAAGCCUUGAAGCUUGAUGUCACUGGUGGAAGUCCUUGUUCUAGGUUAAGGGUCAACUUAGGGUUUUAUUUAGAUUGGUUAUUUCCCUCCUUUAUUUUGGAGUUCUAUUGUUGUUGCGAUAAUAUUUUAAUUGGAUAAUAUUUAAAAAAAUUUCCCUCCUUUAUUUACCCCCUGUGCUAUUAAAAAUCAGAAUUUACUAAAUUUUAUAAGAGAGAUUAAAACAAAUUUAUAAUUAAAUGAUACAAAUACAUAAUAAUAUAUCAUGAUACACAAAUCCAAAAUACAACUUUUAUUACAAUGAACACCUUAAUACAAAUGAGGACUUUAUUAAAAAUAACACAACAUGGAUCAUAAUAUAAUUAUUGAAAAUGUGAAAAUGCAAAUUAUCAAGCUUAAUAGGCAGGGGGUGGAGGUGUGCUAUAUUGGUAGGGAUUAUAUGGUGUAGGUGGGGACUUGUAAACAUAUGGGGGAGGUGUUGGUGGCUUGUAGACGUAUGGUGGUGAUUCGUAGANNNNNNNNNNNNUAGACAUAUGGUGGUGAUUCAUACACAUAUGGGGGAGGUGUUGGUGGCUUGUAGACGUAUGGUGGUGAUUUGUAGACAUAUGGAGGAGGUGUUGGUGGCUUGUAGACGUAUGGUGGUGAUUUGUAAACAUAUGGAGGAGGUGGUGGUGACUUGUAGACAUAUGGAGGAGGAGGAGGUGAUUUAUAGACAUAUGGUGGUGGAGGUGGCGACUUGUAGACAUAAGGUGGAGGAGGUGGUGAGUUGUACACAUAGGGUGGAGGUGGUGGACUGUUAUAGACAUAUGGUGGAGGAGGUGGCGACUUGUAGAUAUAUGGAGGAGGUGGUGAUGGUGGAGGAGGAGAUGGAUAAACAUAAGGUGGAGGAGGUGGGGACUUGUAAACAUAUGGAGGAGGUGGAGGUGAUUUGUAGACAUAAGGAGGUGGCGGUGAUGGUGGAGGAGGAGACGGGUAGACAUAAGGUGGAGGAGGUGGAGACUUGUAAACAUAUGGAGGAGGUGGAGGUGAUUUAUAGACAUAAGGAGGUGGUGGUGAUGGUGGAGGAGGAGACGGGUAGACAUAAGGUGGAGGAGGUGGGGACUUGUAAACAUAUGGAGGAGGUGGAGGUGANNNAUUUAUAGACAUAAGGUGGAGGAGGCGGGGACUUGUAAACAUAUGGAGGUGGUGGAGGUGAUUUAUAGACAUAAGGAGGUGGAGAGUUGUAGUAAUAUGGUGGGGGUUUGUAAACAUAAGGAGGGGGUUUGUAAACAUAAGGAGGUGGUGGUGACGGCGGAGGAGAUUUAUAGUAAUUAUAUGGAGGGAAUUUGUACUCAUAUGGAGGUGGAGAUUGAUAGUUAUAUGGAGGGAAUUUGUAUGGAGGUGGAGAUUGAUAGUUAUAUGGAGGGAAUUUGUAAGCAUAUGGAGGUGGAGAUUGAUAGUUAUUAUAUGGUGGUGGUUUGUAAUAGUAAGAUGGGGGUGUUGUUGGUUGUGGAUAGUUGUAGUAUGGUUGUUUGCCUUCAUGGUAGUAAGGGUUGUCAUCAGCAAUAGCAAGAGUCUUAAUAGCAAUUAUGC